rnacentral:lncRNA from 1 species
UCUGGUUCUCUCUAGAACCUUCCCCCUCCCUGUCCGCUCCGAUGAGCUUCACUCACCUCCUCCAACCAUUUUCUUGCCUGAAUCCAUGGUGGUUUCACCACCCACCAGUCUUCUAUGGCUCCUCCACGCUUGGUUACUGAAGUCUCAUGACCUGACCACGAAAAAGCUGGAUCAAGAACUUGUUUCAUUCAAGUUCCAUGGCCAUCUUCGACCUUGCUCCGGCAAGCCAUGUCUGUUUGAGCCUGGCCUCGACUCCUCCUACUUAGAUCAAUGACUAUCCAAUCCUUUCUCGCCGUUUGGGUUCCCGUGAAACCCUAGCUUUUGAGGUCCUUCUGAUUUCCUUAGAUCUGUUCUAGAUUCGUGUUUUCCCUGAACUUUUAGACGAUUUCUUGAGAUUUCUUCAAAACUAUGCUUUCAAAACCUUCAUUUAUUCGAUCUAGGGUUUUUGAGUAACUUAUAUGUUCUAUGAUUUUUUCUCUUAUGUGUUUCUUCUACUAUGUUUCUUAGUAAAUUUCUUCUACUGUGUUCUUGUUAAGUUUCUGUUACCA